GGUUGAUGCAAAAGUAAUUGUGGUUUUUAUCAUUACUUUUAAUGGGAAAAACUGUAAUUACUUUUGUACCAAUC
rnacentral:pre_miRNA from 1 species